rnacentral:rRNA from 1 species
CCUACGGGAGGCAGCAGUAAGGAAUAUUGGUCAAUGGAGGCAACUCUGAACCAGCCAUGCCGCGUGCAGGAAGACUGCCCUAUGGGUUGUAAACUGCUUUUAUCCGGGAAUAAACCUGCUUACGUGUAAGUAGCUGAAUGUACCGGAAGAAUAAGGAUCGGCUAACUCCGUGCCAGCAGCCGCGGUAAUACGGAGGAUCCAAGCGUUAUCCGGAUUUAUUGGGUUUAAAGGGUGCGUAGGCGGCCUGUUAAGUCAGGGGUGAAAGACGGUAGCUCAACUAUCGCAGUGCCCUUGAUACUGAUGGGCUUGAAUGGACUAGAGGUAGGCGGAAUGAGACAAGUAGCGGUGAAAUGCAUAGAUAUGUCUCAGAACACCGAUUGCGAAGGCAGCUUACUAUGAUCUUAUUGACGCUGAGGCACGAAAGCGUGGGGAUCAAACAGGAUUAGAUACCCUGGUAGUCCACGCCUAACGAUGACACNCNCUGUGUCGAUACACAGUCGAGCGCGAGAGAAGAGUAGUGUCGUCGUGGUUAGUUACGCCGCGAGGUAGAACGACGAGAAGUUAGAGGCGNGAGACGNGCGACGGACGACGACGAGGGAGGAGG